UUUAGGACGUGUUUUAUGCCACUUCUUUUUCUGUGUCAUUUUGUCCACCAAACCUUUAACGUUGUGCGUGAAUACACAAAGAUGGUGCCAGUUACAUCAUCAUUGAAGAAAGAAAGCAAGCUGAUGCAUCUGCAGAUUAAUGUCAUGUAAUUAUUGUCCAAUGUGCUCUAACGAGGAAAAAAAACAAGAGACAGAAGUGCUGCUGUAUUGACAGGACAAGUAAUUGAUGACAUGCUACACUGAGCAGACAGAAUCAAAGGAAAGCUGCAUGAAGCCGGAAAUGCCCUGAGAGGAGCAGGUCACUGUCGCUGAGGUAAUCUCCUUUCAGCAGCGACGGAUCCGAGUCAUCCAGAGCUUCGAUGAGGUGGCCGCGAGAAGUAUGGCUGAUGCGUAGAGGAAGGUCCGAUUGGGUGUUGACCACCGUGGAUGGGGCGUCCCCAGCCUGGAGACGUGGGCUUGCUUGACCAUGACGCCAUGACAGAGGAGACGAUCGAUUCGAUAGACUGGAAAUGGAAAACGCAGCAGCUUCAUCACUGUCAUAGCACACGGUUCCCUCCAUGCAGCUAUGGAAUGAGAAAUGAGAAUGAGAGAUGGAAUGAAUGAAUAUGCUUUGCAGAACAAAUGCACCACCUUCAAGCUGUCUUUUGAGUUCGGCUUAAAAUUCAAGGGCCUCAAAUAUAAUCAUGUUCUCGACUGAAUUGUGUGGCAAAACAUUACAUGAGAAACAAAGAAGGCUCAGUUUCUGAAAGGUAUGAGUCAAAAAUGUGUGUGAAAUGAUUUUUGUCAUACUGGUCAGCCAUCAAAGAUACCACAAUAUUCUGCAUUAUCAUUUAAGAUCAGCAUUUGUGUCCCGCAUUUCAAGUCAGUAGUCACAAACCAUGUGAUGUUAUCUGACAAUCCUUUCAUUAAAAUAUAGAAUAAUCCUAAAAAAA